UACGUAGGGUGCAAGCGUUGUCCGGAAUUAUUGGGCGUAAAGAGCUCGUAGGCGGUUUGUCGCGUCUGCUGUGAAAACGCGAGGCUCAACCUCGCGCCUGCAGUGGGUACGGGCAGACUAGAGUGCGGUAGGGGAGAUUGGGAAUUCCUGGGUGUAGCGGUGGAAUGCGCAGAUAUCAGGAGGAACACCGGAUGGCGAAGGCCAGAUCUCUGGGCCGUAACUGACGCUGAGGAGCGAAAGCGUGGGGAGCGAACAGG
rnacentral:rRNA from 1 species